rnacentral:snRNA from 1 species
GUGCUCGCUUUGGCAGCACAUAUCUAAAACUGGAACAAUACAGAGAAGAUUGGCAUGGCCCCUGCACAAGGAUUACGCACACUCGUGAAGUUUUCCACAUUUAA